rnacentral:rRNA from 1 species
AGAGUUUGAUCCUGGCUCAGAACGAACGCUGGCGGCGUGCUUAACACAUGCAAGUCGAACGUGAUCCGGAGCUUGCUCCGGUGAAAGUGGCGCACGGGUGAGUAACGCGUGGAUAAUCUGCCCUGGUAUCUGGGAUAACAUCUCGAAAGGGGUGCUAAUACCGGAUAAGCCUACGGACUCUUCGGAGUCUGCAGGAAAAGGUGGCCUCUAUUUAUAAGCUACCGUAUCAGGAUGAGUCCGCGUACCAUUAGCUAGUUGGUGGGGUAAUGGCCCACCAAGGCUACGAUGGUUAGCUGGUCUGAGAGGAUGAUCAGCCACACUGGAACUGAGACACGGUCCAGACUCCUACGGGAGGCAGCAGUGGGGGUUUUUGCGCAAUGGGGGAAACCCUGACGCAGCAACGCCGCGUGAGUGAUGAAGGCCUUCGGGUCGUAAAGC